GCCCAGAUGAGCCCCUAUGGUCCGGUGUGUGGGCUUCAAACCCGUAGCUGACAAGAUUCAGAGUGGUUCGAUUUCAUCUUCUGGGCA